AUUGAACGCUGGCGGCAUGCCUUACACAUGCAAGUCGAACGGUAACAGGUCUUCGGAUGCUGACGAGUGGCGAACGGGUGAGUAAUGCAUCGGAACGUGCCAUUGAGUGGGGGAUAACGUAGCGAAAGUUACGCUAAUACCGCAUAUUCUCUCCGGAGGAAAGCAGGGGAUCGUAAGACCUUGUGCCCUUUGAGCGGCCGAUGUCGGAUUAGCUAGUUGGUGAGGUAAAGGCUCACCAAGGCUACGAGCCGUAGCGGGUCUGAGAGGAUGAUCCGCCACACUGGGACUGAGACACGGCCCAGACUCCUACGGGAGGCAGCAGUGGGGGAUUUUGGACAAUGGGCGCAAGCCUGAUCCAGCCAUGCCGCGUGAGUGAAGAAGGCCUUCGGGUUGUAAAGCUCUUUCAGCCGGGAAGAAAACGCAUGGGUUAAUACCCUGUGCGGAUGACGGUACCGGAAUAAGAAGCACCGGCUAACUACGUGCCAGCAGCCGCAGUAA
rnacentral:rRNA from 1 species